rnacentral:tRNA from 1 species
GGGUUUGUAGCUCAGAUGGUAGAGCACACCCCUGAUAAGGGUGAGGCCGGUAGUUCAAAUCUACCCAAACCCA